CAAGGUUAGGGAAGUGGCAGGAAACUUUGGAAUGCAGGCAGCUGAGGUCAUGUGCUGUGUUGAUGUGCUUGUUGUGGCUUGUGUCUAGAUGUCCCCAAAGCUGCGUGGGCCUUUCUCAGACGUGGCUGAACCUAGAAUGUGUGAUUGAUUCAUGGUACUAUGCUAGGAUUAAGAGUGCUGGGAUUUAGGGUGAGUGGUUACUAAAUCAGUCCGCUGAUUGGAUUGGCACGGCCCGAAUCCGUAGCCUGGAUACAACAUAAGGGACAGAAGGAGGAUUGUCUUGUCCCUUGCUUAUUUGCUUUGCUACCUUCUGCCUACUAGGAAUGUUUCCCCCUGUGACGCCUGUCCCUGCCUCAGAGCCAACCAACUAUGGACUGAAACCUCUGCAGACUGUGAGCUAAAUAAACCUUUCCCCCUUUCACGUUAGGUGUCAGGUACUUCCUCUCAGCAACAAAAGUAACUAAGACAGAGCUCGUUCUUCUGUACGUUUAUUUCUGGCAUCUGCGAGGCCCCAGAGAGCAGGGGAAUACAUUAGACGCUUUUUUUUCCCCCCCUAACAUUGUGGUGAUCAUGGCCGCUGCCAGACAGGGUAGGCAGACCCCAGACGGACCUCACAGAGGCAGACGCAGCCGUUUUCAUCCAUCGCCGGCAGAGGAGGAGCACGCGUUCCCGUGCCCGUUUCCGUGCCCAUCCUCCUGUUUCUGAGAAAACACAGAGAUGAAAAGAAACACGUCCAGCCGCUGCCCGUCCCAGGACAGGAGCCGGGAGGAGUCGCCAAGGAGACGUCCGUCCCUGCGUGUGGCGGUGUUGGGCGUGGUCGUCCGGUGCGGGCCGUCACGGAUGUGAUGGUCAGCAGAGGGGCCUGCAGGCAGAGGUCACGGGGAGGUCAGGGCCAGGUGUGCACCGUGAUCACCUAGAGA
rnacentral:lncRNA from 1 species